UGGGGAAUAUUGGACAAUGGGCGAAAGCCUGAUCCAGCCAUGCCGCGUGUGUGAAGAAGGUCUUCGGAUUGUAAAGCACUUUAAGUUGGGAGGAAGGGCAUUAACCUAAUACGUUAGUGUUUUGACGUUACCGACAGAAUAAGCACCGGCUAACUCUGUGCCAGCAGCCGCGGUAAUACAGAGGGUGCAAGCGUUAAUCGGAAUUACUGGGCGUAAAGCGCGCGUAGGUGGUUUGUUAAGUUGGAUGUGAAAUCCCCGGGCUCAACCUGGGAACUGCAUUCAAAACUGACUGACUAGAGUAUGGUAGAGGGUGGUGGAAUUUCCUGUGGAGCGGUGAAAUGCGUAGAUAUAGGAAGGAACACCAGUGGCGAAGGCGACCACCUGGACUAAUACUGACACUGAGGUGCGAAAGCGUGGGGAGCAAACA
rnacentral:rRNA from 1 species